ensembl:lncRNA
CCUAGAGCCGCCAGAGCACGGGAGAAACCAUCUUCGGAGAAGGAGGGGGGGGCGCGGCUUCCACUGCCUCUCGGGCGGGUGCGGGAGGGGCGCUCGCGGUGCCACCGGCUCCAGCCAGGCUGGUUUGCUCUGCAGAGUGGCGUGGCGAGGGUGUCGGCUAACUCCCCCUUUCCCUACAGUUCCCAUCAACCUCGCAAAAACCCCCAGUUUAAGUAAUCCUUAUGGUUGUUAUGCGCCAACUCUGGUUGCUACGCAAACACCGCUAAACUAACCCUUCAACAAACUAGUUGCCCCGAACUCUUCUGAGGGGGAAAUUGUGGAGCAGCCCUCUGCUUAGAGAUGAUAACCACCACCAGUGGUUCCGGUUUCUCAGGCACACGGCCAAUCGCAGGACAUUGCCAGCUUUGGAGCCGAGUUUCCCGAGACUUUUGCUGACACAUGUAUGCUCAGAAAAUCACUGGUGGUCUGGGUGUGGUGGAGCAUUCGUGUCCUAGCACUCAGGAGGCUGAAGCAGGGAGGUCACAAAUUCCAGACCAUCUCGGACUACAUAGUGAGACCCUGCCUCAGAACAUCAAAACCAGAAAAGGAAAGAAGAAAUUUCUAGCUAUUCAGCCCUCAUCUUAGCUGCCGUGAGGUGAAGUCCUCUGCCACACUGGACUGUGCCUGAAGCAAUAGGACCAAGUGACCAUGGACUGAGACCUUGGAAAUACUGAGCCGAAAGACACCUUUCCUUCUUUCAGGUUGAUUCUCUCAGGCUGAAGAAUCAUCAUACUGUUUUUCUCAACAGCUGCAGCAUUUGACAUUUCUCUCAGUAAUAUCUGAGAGUUCCAGCCUUUCCACAUCCUUGCCAACACAUGUUAUUGUUCAUUUUUUAAAGAGCUAUCUAGUGAGUAUCAUAUGGUACCUUGUUAUGGUUCGUGUCUGGAUGUCCCCCCAAAGUCUCAUGUCAUAGGUGCGGCUUUUUCAGAAGUGGCUGGAUCUAGAGUGUGUGACACUGGGAUUGAUUCAUGGGGCAACGCUAGACUCAAGGGCACUAGGAUUAAGAGUGCGAGUGCUACCUGCCCCAAGUAGUCUGGGUAAGAUAAGAGGGACAGAAAGACGCUGUUAAGGUCCUUUGUUGCUUUUGCUGUCUUCUACCUGUCUGCCAUGUCACCCUGCCUGGGAGCCAAUCAAUUAAAGACUGAACCGUCUACAAACUGUGAGCCAAAUAAACCUUUCCCCCUUUAACUUUGCAAGUCAG